AGCACUGGCAUGUGGUUUUGUUCAAUGAAACCAAAGACAGACAAAAUAGGUGAGAAAAAAAAUCAUCUUUUGCAACUUAGAAUUCACUGAUCAGUAUGAGUUUUGAUACCCACAAGAAAAAAUGUG